rnacentral:rRNA from 1 species
AUUGAACGCUGGCGGCAGGCCUAACACAUGCAAGUCGAGCGAGCGGCGGAAGGGUGAGUAAUGUCUGGGAAACUGCCUGAUGGAGGGGGAUAACUACUGGAAACGGUAGCUAAUACCGCAUACCAUCAGAUGUGCCCAGAUGGGAUUAGCUAGGAGGUGGGGUAAUGGCUCACCUGGGCGACGAUCCCUAGCUGGUCUGAGAGGCUGACCAGCCACAAUGGAAAGGAGACAGGGUCCAGAAUCAUAAGGGAGGCAGCAGGGGGGAAUAUGGAAAAAUGGGCGAAAGCCUGAUGCAGCCAGGCCGGGUGUGGGAAGAAGGCCUUGGGGUUGAAAAGCAGUUUCAGGGGGGAGGCGUUACCCGCAGAAGAAGCACCGGCUAACUCCGUGCCAGCAGCCGCGUAAUAC